GGCCAGCAGAGCAUCAGGUCACAGGAACAGGAUGCACAACUUUUGCCAGUGGGUCACUAGGGGUACCACUGGUAAUAGUGAGGGGUGCUACUCCCAUUUUCUGGACCCGUGAAUCCUGGCCGUGGGAGAAGAAGCGCCAUAUAUUGGACUUUGAUUGAGAGCAUGUACAGCCUCCUAGAGACCCUUGUCCCAGUCCUACAGGGUAUUACCACCUAGCUGUACUGCAACUGAGUCUGCAAAAGCCAAGUCCACCAUUCUGUCAAGCCAGCUGCCACAGGAUGGUGGGGAAUAUGUGUCGGGUAGCACAUAUAAGUGUGUUUAAUACUCAGAAUUUGCCUCUGCAGUGAGGUUACGGCAUCGCAAGGCAGGAGGCUCCCUGGUCGUGUCUGUGGUUUGACCAGUCACCAUGGAGCUGUCAGCAGAGCUGAGGGAGGUGGCUAUUUCAGGUACCCCGGCCAAUGCCCAGCUCAGAGAAGGUAGAGAAUGAAUGUUACUGAAUUAAGUGAAUUUCCCAUUUGAUAUAUUUUUAAAUUAAAAAUGGGAUAUUUCAUGCCUUUUAAAAAAAACCUGUCACUGCUCAACCCUAGUUUAACAGUGAUCCGUACAAGAAAACACUACUUUACCAUUUCAUUAACCCUCAAGUAAUUGCAGCUAGUGUAGAGGGAAUGUAGGUUAGCAGGGAAUAUGCAGGACUAGAGGUUAGGUGUCCCAUGUGCAACCCUGGCCCUGUCUCUUACAUUCAUGUGACCUUGCGCCAGUUGCUGUCCAUCCCUAAGCCUCAGUGUCCCCAUCCAUGAAAUAAUGGAGUUGGUUGGUCCCAUUCAAAGCUAAGCUUCCAUGAGCUUAUAACCUGGUCUUAUCUCUGGGUUUGAUUAAAUGUCUUCUUUCUAGAUAACCGAGAAUCCUUGUUUAGGGGUGCUGGGUCCUAGGCCGCACAGAGUGACAAGCCCCUCCAGCAAUGUGUCCUCAUCUUGCUAUUCAUGACCCCCGCUGCCCACCCCCGACCCCGCCAGGAGGAGACGGUCCCUGAGUUUCUUCCCCAUCUCUUCCACUGCCACACCUUCUACCUGAGAGGCAGCAAACCAGCACCCACAACAUCAGGGGACUUGGGUUCGAGCCCUGGCCCGGGAAGAUCCCACGUGCCGCGGAGCAACUAAGCCUGUGUGCCACAACUAUUGAGCCUCGUGCCACAACUACUGAAGCCUGUGAGCCUAGAGCCUGUGCUCCGCAACAAGAGAAGCCACCACAAUGAGAAGCCCGCACACCGCAGCGAAGAGUAGCCCCCGCUCACCGCAACUAGAGGAAGCCCGUGCACAGCAACAAAGACCCAAUGCAGCCAAAAAUAAAUAAAUAAGAUAAUUUAUUAAAAAAAAUUUUUUUAAAAAGAGAGCCUGGAAAUCUGAAGUUUUAUGUGCAAGUUUCCUAUUUGAAAAUGUUGGCAGCUCAUUCAAAUAUACAGACAAAACCAAGUUUUGGCAUUUGAUUGGACUAUAGGUCUCCCAGUUUCCAAUUCUGACUCUGUUCACAUGACAGAUUUUUAGAUAGAUAGAUAGAUAGAUAGAUGAAAAGUACCUAGCCCAGUGCGUGGCACAUAAUAGCUGUUUAAUAAAUGUUUGUUGCACCUGAAUAUAUGAUUUUCCCACUAGAAUCUAGGGUUCUUGCAAUUUAGAGCCACACUGUAGCACCACAGGUAUAGGGAAGCCAGGUACAGUUGUGCAAGUUUUGCACUGCACAACUCCAGCAACCACUGUUCACAGAAACCAGACAACAUAUAAUGCCCUUGGAGUUGUGCCAGUGCCCAACUUGCACAACCAGAUGCAGCUGUCCUGACAGAGUCUCCCCAUAAUGCAGUGUCUGUUCAGUUGAAUGAAAGUGAACAAUU